rnacentral:ncRNA from 2 species
CGCCUCUAAGUCAGAAUC